CGUAAUUGUAAAUGAAGCUUCGAAACGUUGUGAAGCCGCGCGGUGAAGCAGAGGCGGUGAGGUGUCAGUUCACAAGGCGCCUCCAGUUGCUGCCAGGAAUACGCUGGGGGAGGAGUGGCGCUGCUGUGUGGGUUGGUUGCUUGUCUGGCGUUUGCGGUGUCUUGGGAGAGUGGGAGAGUAAGAGUUGCCGCCGCUACCACCACCACCACCACCGCCACGGGUAACAAUGAGUGGCUUAGCUCUGUAACGGCGCCUUAGUAAUUCAGUCAUGGCAGCAGACUACACCUCCCAGUGGCGCCUCUUGUGUCUGCAGAGCGUGGCGAAUCUGUUCACAGCGGCGGGGGUCACGGGUCAUUGCUUCGCCUGCCAGUACCGCCACCCCUUCCCGUGCCAUCGCAGUUUGCCUGUUCCUUGCCCCUCUCGCCUUCCGUGCCGUCACUAAUCACGUGGACCUUACUGUCGUUGCUUUGCUAGCAGCCUCCUUAUCGCCGCCGCUCCUGCUCGUCUCCUCUCCUGCCUCCGUCACAGUAAUGGACGCCCUUCGUGUUGGUGACUCCUCUCUCCAGGUCACGGGGCGAGGACUGGCUGACUGGCUGAGGCGGCGGCUCCAUGCAAGGUGGUCAGCUGAAAAGGCACAGACAAGAGGAGACUGCACGGGAGGAUUGGAGUGUACAGGAGGAAAACUGCCGAGGGAGGAGAGAGUAGAGGAAGAGACAAGAGGUGAAAAAGUACAGGAAGACACGUGCCCGGUUAGAGAAGCGUCUGUGAUAAAGUGCUUGUAUAUUGAUUGUGUGUACCAUAACAACACUAGAGGAAUAAAAACAGACAAGGUUUUUUAA